AUACAUGGAGCACGGGCUCUCGCCUCCUCUCUCACUCGCCGCCGCCACCACCCACGUCGGCCGCUUCUCCGGUGACCUCCGGCGCCGUGCAGCACGCCCCCGAGCUCCCCACGGUCCACGCCACCCUCCCCUCCGGCCAGAGUCUCUGCUCCCGUCCUCUACCGCCCGCUCGCAAGCCAAUCCCCCAUGGCUAGGGUUUCGGGUAGGGCUUCGCAGCCGCGUGUCCGGCUGCCCCAGGGGAUAAACAAGGGGAGGUAUAGCAGGGCGUUGGAAAUUUGCGGGAGUGGGGGAGAUCGAUGAGGACGAGGACUGUCUGGUGCACUGCUGGUGCGGGGAGGGCAGGGGAGAGGGAUGGCUGUUGCGCUGCUAUUAGCUGCAUAUAGUAUUGCUCCUUUCCUGUUGUUUGUUGAUUGAUGCUGCUGCUGCUACUACUUUGAUGCAGUUGCUGCUAAUUUGAUGUGGAGGACGUGCAGGGACGGACGACGAGCGAGCAGAGAUUUAUCCGGGACCUAAAUUUGGCAGGCAAAUGGGUGAGCUCCCACAUCCCUCUCGGUCUCCUUUGAUUUGUUGCAGAUUUCUUCGAAGCCCAUGACCUCUCUUGGGCCUUGGCAGUGGCGAGCUAGGUGCCGGCGAGGUAGGCGACAUCGUCAACGAGGGCCAUCAUGGCCUCCACCUAUGCCCUCUUGCAGGUGGACUGCUGGUCAUCGGUGCAGCGGGUCGGGCUCUUGCAGCAACAUCUAUGAUAUUCUCUGGACGAGCUGCAGGUAGGCCAGUAGAUGAGGAUUCGACGGCCACCACCGAGGUAUGACCUCCUCUCCUUGCCCUUGGGCUGGCAUCUCUGAUCAGGUUGUAAUCUGCUGCUGUAGUGUUGCUCUUUGGGGAUUCCUAUGGGAUCUAUUUUUGAUUGGUCAAAGCUGGUAUGUUGGCCACUGGUUGGUUUAACAUGAUGCUAUAAUGCGCUACGGAGAGAUAUGUUAUUCUAGUACAAGUGUCCGGUCAGUUAAUUUGAGGAUUUUUGCCUUUUGUUCUUCAGGCCUAUAGCUUUGUGGUUUCAGUCCAACAGUUAAAAGUUGUAUUGGCUUGUAAAAAUUUAUGUGACUGGACGAGUAGGUGAGGAUGAUCUCAUAUGGAAAAUACUGCUCCAUGGUAUUAAAAUCUGUUAUAGGUGUUGGAAGUCAAUGCUAGGAGCUCCUGGGAUCUGCUCAUGCAUGCUUGGUCGGAACUUUUCUUUUGAAUCAAUUGAUGAACCGAUGGCAUCAGAUAUGCCGUAUGUGUACUCCACUACGUACGACCGGGUGAAAACAAGUUUGAUCGAUGGAGAUGGAUUUCUAUCCUGUUGGUGCAAUUGUAUGUUCAGGUGGUUCUUUCAUGUCCGUUCUCUCUAGCUUCUUGAUGUUUUCUUUCUCAGGUGUAAUUUAGUUGCCAUUUGUAAUAGCCAAAUUUUCAUGUCAAACAUGAUUUAAAGAUUUUCUAUGCCAGUUGACAUGUCAUUUAUUUUCUA